rnacentral:misc_RNA from 1 species
GAUGAAGAACGUAGCGAAAUGCGAUAAGUAAUGUGAAUUGCAGAAUUCAGUGAAUCAUCGAAUCUUUGAACGCACAUUGCGCCCGCCAGUAUUCUGGCGGGCAUGCCUGUUCGAGCGUCAUUUCAACCAUCAAGCCCCCGGGCUUGUGUUGGGGACCUGCGGCUGCCGCAGGCCCUGAAAAGCAGUGGCGGGCUCGCUGUCACACCGAGCGUAGUAGAUUUUAUCUCGCUCUGGGCGUGCUGCGGGUUGCGGCCGUUAAACCACCCUUUUAACCCAAGGUUGACCUCGGAUCAGGUAGGAAGACCCGCUGAACUUAAGCAUAUCAAUAAGCGGAGGA